UACGAAGGGGGGCUAGCGUUGUUCGGAAUUACUGGGCGUAAAGCGCGCGCCAGGCGGUCCUUUAAGUCAGGGGUGAAAGCCCAGAGCUCAACUCUGGAACUGCCUUUGAAACUAGAGGACUUGGGUACGGGAGAGGUGAGUGGAAUUCCGAGUGUAGAGGUGAAAUUCGUAGAUAUUCGGAAGAACACCAGUGGCGAAGGCGGCUCACUGGCCCGUUACCGACGCUCAGGCGCGACAGCGUGGGGGAGCAAACAGG
rnacentral:rRNA from 1 species